UAAGGAGGAGAGAGGAAAGGCGCUUAGGGGUCGUCCGGAGAGGAGUCUGCGGUUCAUUAGUUAGUUGGUGGGGUAAAGGCCUACCAAGGCGACGAUGAAUAGCCGGCCUGAGAGGGUGAACGGCCACACUGUGACUGAGACACGGCCCAGACUCCUACGGGAGGCAGCAGCUAAGAAUCUUCCGCAAUGGGCGAAAGCCUGACGGAGCGACGCCGCGUGAACGAAGAAGGCCUAACGGUUGUAGAGUUCUUUUCUUGGGGAGGAAUAAGCCUUGCAGGGAAUGGCAGGGUGAUGACGUUAACCGAGGAAGAAGCCCCGGCUAAUUACGUGCCAGCAGCCGCGGUAACACGUAAGGGGCGAGCGUUGUUCGGAAUUAUUGGGCGUAAAGGGCGCGUAGGCGGCAUAGCAAGUCAGGUGUGAAAGAUCUCAGCUCAACUGAGGAAACGCGCUUGAAACUGCUGUGCUGGAGUCUAGGAGGGGAAGCUGGAAUUCCUAGUGUAGGGGUGAAAUCUGUAGAUAUUAGGAAGAACACCGGUGGCGAAGGCGAGCUUCUGGCCAUAGACUGACGCUGAGGCGCGGAAGCGUGGGGAGCGAACAGGAUUAGAUACCCUGGUAGUCCACGCCGUAAACGAUGUGCACUGGGUGUCGGCCCGUUGGGGUCGGUGCCGAAGCUAACGCGAUAAGUGCACCGCCUGGGGAGUAUGCUCGCAAGGGUGAAACUCAAAAGAAUUGACGGGGGCCCGCACAAGCGGUGGAGCAUGUGGUUUAAUUCGAUGAUACGCGAGAAACCUUACCAGGGCUUGACAUAUGUAGGACAGCGUUGGAGACAACGCCUCUCUUCGGAGCCUAUAUACAGGUGCUGCAUGGCUGUCGUCAGCUCGUGCUGUGAAGUGUUGGGUUAAGUCCCGCAACGAGCGC
rnacentral:rRNA from 1 species